CCUACGGGUGGCUGCAGUGGGGAAUAUUGGACAAUGGGCGAAAGCCUGAUCCAGCCAUGCCGCGUGUGUGAAGAAGGCCUUCGGGUUGUAAAGCACUUUCAGUGGGGAAGAAAGCCUUGGGGCUAAUACCUUCGAGGAAGGACAUCACCCACAGAAGAAGCACCGGCUAACUCCGUGCCAGCAGCCGCGGUAAUACGGAGGGUGCGAGCGUUAAUCGGAAUUACUGGGCGUAAAGCGCGCGUAGGCGGUCUGAUAAGCCGGUUGUGAAAGCCCCGGGCUCAACCUGGGAACGGCAUCCGGAACUGUCAGGCUAGAGUGCAGGAGAGGAAGGUAGAAUUCCCGGUGUAGCGGUGAAAUGCGUAGAGAUCGGGAGGAAUACCAGUGGCGAAGGCGGCCUUCUGGACUGACACUGACGCUGAGGUGCGAAAGCGUGGGUAGCAAACAGGAUUAGAUACCCCUGUAGUC
rnacentral:rRNA from 1 species